UUACGGCCACAUCAUCUUGAAACACCUGUUCCUGUACGAUCACCGAAGGUAAGCAAUGUUAUACCUGGUCAGUAGCUAGAAGAGUGACCGUUUGGGAAUACCAAGUGUUGUAA